AUGCUCGCUUCAGCAGCACAUGCACUAAAAUUGGAAUGAUACAGAGAUUAGCGAGGCCCCUGAGCAAGGAUGACACACACAUUUGUGAAGUGUUCCAUAAAAAA